GACGAACGCUGGCGGCGUGCUUAACACAUGCAAGUCGAACGGAAAGGCCCUGCUUUUGUGGGGUGCUCGAGUGGCGAACGGGUGAGUAACAUGUGAGUAACCUGCCCUUGACUUUGGGAUAACUUCAGGAAACUGGGGCUAAUACCGGAUAGGAGCUCCUGCUGCAUGGUGGGGGUUGGAAAGUUUCGGCGGUUGGGGAUGGACUCGCGGCUUAUCAGCUUGUUGGUGUGGUAGUGGCUUACCAAGGCUUUGACGGGUAGCCGGCCUGAGAGGGUGACCGGCCACAUUGGGACUGAGAGACGGCCCAGACUCCUACGGGAGGCAGCAGUGGGGAAUAUUGCACAAUGGGCGGAAGCCUGAUGCAGCAACGCCGCGUGCGGGAUGACGGCCUUCGGGUUGUAAACCUCUUUCGCCUGUGACGAAGCGUGAGUGACGGUAAUGGGUAAAGAAGCACCGGCUAACUACGUG
rnacentral:rRNA from 1 species